AUAUCCUAAUAUUUAUUCAGAACCGCGAAGGCCCGCGUCGAGGGAACUUGAUUGUUUAGCCGGCGGCGAGAGCGAUUUCAUGAGUGACGUGACGAGUCAACGAAAGAGGAGGCAAAGAAAAGAAAGGGUAUCAGACGACUGCUCACUCGCCGUGAAUCUACCCUAAGAGAUUGCGUGGUAUAACUAUCGGCUACGAGACACCUUCGAACUUCCAGAUCUCUAGGGGCUGUCGGUGGUAACAGAGGGAAGAACGAGGCGGCACGAAGUUCGCGGUGAAAGGAAUGUGUGAGAGUGCGCAUUUAUUCAUAUAUAGUGACGUGGGUGCAGUGGUAUCCCAUAUAGCGACUUAGUCACUAAUGAAGAUCACCGUCACAGUUCCUUCCUCGAACAAAGCAAUGGAAAUCGGUCUUCUGGGACACACAGGCUUCCCCUUUCAGAGCACGUACGAGUGUGGUCGAGCGGUAACGUGUCCCGCGGGACAGCCGCUGGGAUGGCCCAACGCGAUUUUCAACUUGACGUAGCCCUCUCUCGCAAGAUUUUUAUGCACGGUAAGAGUUCGGCGAGUUUUCACGAUAUAAGUUUUUAUCGAAGAGAAUCGUGGUAGGAUAUUAUUGUGUCCUUGUAACUAAUAAAGUCAAAUUGCGAAUACAGAAAGAAGAUUAUGAUCAAACUUGAGUUUUAAUCUCUCUGUAGAAUCAAGCUUCGAUGUAAUUUUACACAUUAACACAAAUUUUAUAUACAA